rnacentral:rRNA from 1 species
GAUGAACGCUGGCGGCGUGCUUAACGCAUGCAAGUCGAACGAAGCAUUUGCGACAGAUUUUUUCGGAAUGAAGUUGCUUAUGACUGAGUGGCGGACGGGUGAGUAACGCGUGGGUAACCUGCCUUGUACUGGGGGAUAGCAGCUGGAAACGGCUGGUAAUACCGCAUAAGCGCACAAUGUUGCAUGACAUGGUGUGAAAAACCCCGGUGGUAUAAGAUGGACCCGCGUCUGAUUAGCUAGUUGGUGAGAUAACAGCCCACCAAGGCGACGAUCAGUAGCCGACCUGAGAGGGUGACCGGCCACAUUGGGACUGAGACACGGCCCAGACUCCUACGGGAGGCAGCAGUGGGGAAUAUUGCACAAUGGAGGAAACUCUGAUGCAGCGACGCCGCGUGAGUGAAGAAGUAAUUCGUUAUGUAAAGCUCUAUCAGCAGGGAAGAUAGUGACGGUACCUGACUAAGAAGCUCCGGCUAAAUACGUG